UGAAGACACAUAUCAGGUCGAAAAAUCUAAUUUAAGAGCUGGGAAUUGAGCAACUUUUGCGAAACAUCUGAAAAACCUAUUCAAAGCCAAAAUAUCUAUCUCAAACACAGACAAGACUACAAUAUUACCUAGUUCUCACCAAAAAGAUCUCAUUUCUAGUCAGAUAAGUUGCCCUCGUUAUCAAAGAGCAGAUGGAAACUGGUUCGUCAAAAGUCAUAAUGGACCUAUAACUAAACUACCCAGCAAGGAGAUUGGAGAUGACACUUUAAGUUGUACAAGAUGAAUUUAUGACACUUAUACUGUAAAAUGGUUAAUAGGAUUGCAAGUUGUAAUUAAAUUAUGCUGUAUAGUUUUCAUAUUUAUUCACUAUUGAAUGAGCAAAAAUAUCGAAGUCAAGAUGCUAUAAUCUUGGAGAUGAUGGAGCAGAAAUAUUAAAAGUCUCCAUUUCUAAUAAACAAUAUUUUAAAAUUUAUAUUACCCAGUUACAUUUAGAAAAUCAUCAUGGCUUUCAUAAAUUGAAAAUUAAAUUAAGUUCGGUGAAUCAAAAGCGCUGCUUUACCAAUAUUGAAUAUUAAAAUGUUUAUGGCAUUAUUAAUUGAAAAUAUGUCAGGAUUAAUUUCAUAUAA